rnacentral:rRNA from 1 species
GACGAACGCUGGCGGCGUGCUUAACACAUGCAAGUCGAACGGAAAGGCCCCUUUCGGGGGGUACUCGAGUGGCGAACGGGUGAGUAACACGUGAGUAACCUGCCCUUGACAUUGGGAUAACUCUAGGAAACUCGGGCGAAUACCGGGUAGGGGCUCCCGCUGCAUGUGGGGGGUUGGAAAGUUUCGGCGGGUUGGGGUGGAAUCGCGGCUUAUCUCCGUGUUGGGGGGGUGUUGGGGUUCCCAAGCUUUGAGGGGUAUCCGGGCUGGGAGGGUGACCGGGCAAAUUGGGGCUGGAGUACGGGCCAGAAUCCUACGGGGGGGAGCAGGGGGGAAUUAUUGACAAUGGGUGGAAGGCUGAUGGAGCAACGCCGUGUGCGGGAUGACGGCCUUCGGGUUGUAAAACGCCUUCGCUCAUGACGAAGCUUUGUGUGACGGUAGUGGGUAAAGAAGCACCGGCUAACUACGUG